rnacentral:rRNA from 1 species
GAUGAGCGCUGGCGGCGUGCCUAAUACAUGCAAGUCGAGCGAAUGGAUUAAGAGCUUGCUCUUAUGAGGUUAGCGGCGGACGGGUGAGUAACACGUGGGUAACCUGCCCAUAAGACUGGGAUAACUCCGGGAAACCGGGGCUAAUACCGGAUAACAUUUUGAACCGCAUGGUUCGAAAUUGAAAGGCGGCUUCGGCUGUCACUUAUGGAUGGACCCGCGUCGCAUUAGCUAGUUGGUGAGGUAACGGCUCACCAAGGCAACGAUGCGUAGCCGGCCUGAGAGGGUGGUCGGCCACACUGGGACUGAGACACGGCCCAGACUCCUACGGGAGGCAGCAGUAGGGAAUCUUCCGCAAUGGACGAAAGUCUGACGGAGCAACGCCGCGUGAGUGAUGAAGGCUUUCGGGUCGUAAAACUCUGUUGUUAGGGAAGAACAAGUGCUAGUUGAAUAAGCUGGCACCUUGACGGUACCUAACCAGAAAGCCACGGCUAACUACGUGCCAGCAGCCGCCGUAA